rnacentral:lncRNA from 1 species
GCUCCUCUUCUUACUAAUUCAGUUAAUGUUAAAUUUUGUUUAUCGGACCUACAAAAAUUUCUAAUAAAAUUCAACAAAGGAUUGCAAAAACUUCCGACGGGAUUCUUCUGGCGGGACUUCGUUUUCUAUAAGAAUUUUCAUGAUAUUUUGAAGGUGUUUUAUCCAUUUUCACAAUAAUUUUUACAAUUUAGAUAUUUAGAAGUGACAUUC